rnacentral:rRNA from 1 species
UACGGAGGUCCCAAGCGUUGUUCGGAAUUACUGGGCGUAAAGGGAGCGCAGGCGGACUGGUCCGUCCAAAGCGGAAGCCCGGGGCUUAACCUCGGAACGCCUUUGGAUACCACCAGUCUUGGGUUCGUGAGAGGAAAGCGGAAUUCAGGGUGUAGCGGUGAAAUGCUUAGAUAUCCUGAGGAACACCGAUGGCGAAAGCAGCUUUCUGGCACGACACCGACGCUGAGGCUCGAAAGCGUGGGUAGCAAACGGG